rnacentral:lncRNA from 1 species
AUUUUACAGAUAAGGAAAAUGAAGUUGAAAGAGGUGAAGAGGCCCAGAGUUACACUCUAUGAAGCAUCUGAGCCUGUAUCUGAACUCCCGCCUGCUUGGCUCCAACAGCACUCAAACCAGCAUACUACCUAGCAGUCCUCACAGGAACCCAGGUCACUGCGAUGUGGUCUUUGUUCUAGCCCUGCUCUGCCUGCUGCCCAGCCCCUAAGUUGUCUAUUCCUUCCUCAUCUUGCUUCAUAUACUUCCUGUCCCUGAAUGAAGCUCAUGCCCAAAAGUGUGCAUAGUAUCUACAUUGGUACAGGUGGAGUUAAUUCCUUAUGCAGUAUUCCAGCUUCCUUCUGCUCCUCUACUUUCACUUGGAGUGAUCCUAUUGGCUCUUCUCCCACUGGAAAAUUUCUCCUCUUGUGGGUCUUCUCAGUAUGUCAGAGGCUAGAACUUCAGAGUUUCCCUAUCAUGGUGCCAUUACAGCUUGAAAGAUGUAUCUCACUAGCAUGUUUUCACUUUGAAACCUCUCCCACCCAUCUUAGGUUUUGCACAAAAGAAUUGCUCAGGAAUCAGGAACAGAAAUAUCCUGAUCUCAUUUUUGUGAAUGAGUCUCUGUCAUAGACAAGGGUGAAAUCGAAGUUUGAUGUCCCCUUCCUCCCACCACCCAGGUGGCAUGUUUCCUACCCAUACCUCUAAUCAUAAUGAGUCUAAAAGCUUACCCAUACACUCCAAUUUUCCCCUAAUUGUCCCUUUAGAUCUAUAAAUCCCUCUAUAUUCAGCUAGGAAGGGUUAUUCAAAUCAAUUUAGUUCAAAAAGCAUUUAAGUAUCUACCAUGCGCUGGGCACUGUGCUUAGGCUAUUUCUUAAAACAUUACCAUCCUCAGGGCAGAGGGGAACCAUGUAUCCUUCAGCAUUGCUUUUCAGGGAAGGAGAAAAAAAUAGUAAUUUCCAAUAGUGAACAUUUAGAUGAAAUUAGGUUCCUGACAUCAUAAAGCUUGAAGAUUCAAUUCAUUCUUUUAUUUUUCUUUCUUUUUUUGGGCUUCCCUAACCCUACCUUACACGUCCUUACGCUCCACCACUUCAACAGAAAAACAAAAACACCCCUCCCCCCUUUUUAAACAAAUAUGCUUGGUCAAGCAAAACAAAUGUCUACAGUAGCCAUGUUUGAGAAAUCUAUGUUAAGACAGUUCAAAUACCAUCUUCCGCAGAAAGCCUACACAUAUAUGCGUGUGUGUGUGUGUGUGUGUGUGUGUGUGUGUGUAUAUACACACACACACACACACACACACACACACACACACACACACACAUAUAUAUGUAUGUAUGUAUGUUGUCUACUAGAAUGUAAGCUCCUUGAGGGGAGGGACUCUUUUCUCUUUUUCUUUGUUUCUCCAGGACUUAGCACAGUGCUAAGCAUACAGUGAGUGCUUACCUAAUGCUCCCUUUUUUCACCUCAAAACCACAGUAUCCCUGUCUCCAUCUUUCUCCCAGUUUCUGAUUAUGAGACGGCCUUUCUCUUUGCCAGGGCCGACUGUUCUGCAUGUAUACUUGGUCCCAUCUUUCCUGGAUUUCUCCAGGAGAUGGCCCCUUUAAUCACCUCCUUGCUUUCUCCAAUCUUCAAC